GACAGCUUGGCCGAGUGGUUAAGGCGAUGGACUUGAAAUCCAUUGGGGAAACCCGCGUGAGUUCAAACCUCACAGCUGUCG
rfam:Phytophthora infestans T30-4 supercont1.19 genomic scaffold, whole genome shotgun sequence.